AAGCAUGGCCACUGAGUUACAUCCCAGGCUUAAAAAUUAACUUUUGAUUCCUUUUACCUCUCACAUGUAGAGUUUGUAUUUAACACCCUUGUUCUUCCUUCCAUUCAGCCUGUGAUAACUGCAUUUGGGGCCUCACAUCCCAUCUCUGUCAUCAUACAGAUUCUCAUCAAGCAUACCUACUACAUCCCUCGUGUUCACCAAAUACCUGGUUUGUUUCCAAAAGUACAUAAAAGAGCAUUAAAUUUGAUGUUCAGUGUGUGUCAAA